GAUGAACGCUGGCGGCGUGCCUAAUACAUGCAAGUCGAGCGAACAGACGAGGAGCUUGCUCCUCUGACGUUAGCGGCGGACGGGUGAGUAACACGUGGAUAACCUACCUAUAAGACUGGGAUAACUUCGGGAAACCGGAGCUAAUACCGGAUAAUAUAUUGAACCGCAUGGUUCAAUAGUGAAAGACGGUUUUGCUGUCACUUAUAGAUGGAUCCGCGCCGCAUUAGCUAGUUGGUAAGGUAACGGCUUACCAAGGCAACGAUGCGUAGCCGACCUGAGGGGGGGAUCGGGCACGGGGGAGGUGAGACGGGGGACGGGCGCCGAGGGGAGGCAGCAGUGGGGAAUCUUCCGAGAUGGGCGAAAGCCUGACGGAGCAACGCCGCGUGGGUGAUGAAGGGCUUCGGAUCGUAAAACUCUGUUAUUAGGGAAGAACAAAUGUGUAAGUAACUAUGCACGUCUGGACGGUACCUAAUCAGAAAGCCACGGCUAACUACGU
rnacentral:rRNA from 1 species